AUCUUGUAUCCUGCAACUUUACUGAAUUUAUUUAUUCUAAUAGUUUUCUGGUGGAAAAUUUAGGCUUUUCUAUAUAUGGUAUUAUGUCAUCUGCAAAUAGUGACAAUUUUACUUCCCUUCCAAGUUUUAUGCCUUUUAUUUAUUUUUCUAGUCUGAUUGCUGUGGCUAGGACUUCCAAUAGUGUGUUAAAUAGACGUGAUGAGAGUGAGCAUCCUUGUCUUGUUCCUGAUAUUAGAGGAAAAGCUUUUAGCUUUUCACUGUUGAAUAUGAUGUUAGCUGUGGGUUUGUCAUAAAUGGCCUUUAUUAUGUUGAGAGAUGGUCCCUCUGAGAGAUGUUCCCUCUGAGAGAUGUUUGAUGAGAGUUUUUAUCAUGAAUGGGUGUUGAACUUUGUCAAAUGCUUUUUCUGCAUAUAUUGAGAUGAUCAUGUGAAUUUUAUCCUUUCUUUUGUUAGUGUGGUGUAUUACACUGAUUGAUUCGCAGAUAUUGAACCAUGCUUGUGACCCUGGAAUAAAUCCCACUUGAUCGUGGUGUAUGAUUUUUUUGUGUGUGUGGCUGUGCUGAACAGCUUGCAGGAUCUUAGUUCCCUGACCAGGGAUUGAGCCUUCGCCCUCAGCAGUGAAAGUGCAGAGUGCUAACCACUGGACAUCCAGGGAAUUCCCUAGGAUCUUUUUUUAUUGUUGAAUUUGGUUUGCUAAUGUUCUGUUGAGAAUUUUUGCGUCUAUAUUCAUCAAAUAUAUUGGCCUGUAAUUUUCUUUUUUUGUAGUGUCUUUGUCUUGUUUUGGUAUCAAGGUAAUUGUGGCCUCAUAGAAUGAAUUUGGGAGUGUUCCAUCCCCUUCAGUUAUUUGGAACAGUUUGAGAAGGAUGGGUAUUAUCUCUUCUUUAUAUGUCUGGCAGAAUUCCCUCAUGAAGCUGUCCAGUCCUGGACUUUUGUUCACUGGGAGUUUUGUUUUUUUGGGUUUUUUUAAUAAAUUUAUUCUCUUUAUUUGUAGUUGAGUUGGGUCUUCAUUGCUGUGCACGGGCUCUUUCUAGCUGCGGUGAGCAGGGGCUACUCUUCGUUGUGGUGUGUGGGCUUCUCAUUGUGGUGGCUUCUCUUGCUGCAGAGCACAGGCUCUAGGCACGCGGGCUUCAGUAGUUGUGGCUCUCAGGCUCCAGAGUGCAGGCUCAGCAGUUGUGGCACACAGGCUUAGUUGCUCUGCGGCAUGUGGUAUCUUCCUGGACCAGGGCUUGAACCCAUGUCCCCUGCAUUGGCAGGCGGAUUCUUAACCACUGCGCCACCAGGGAAGCCCAGGGAGUUUUUUAAAUUACUAAUUCAAUUUCACUACUAGUGAUAGGUCUGUUCAGAUUGUCUAUUUCUUCUUGAUUCAGUCUUGGACUUGUAUGUUUCUAGAAAUGUAGCAGUUUCUUCUGGAUUGUCAAAUUCGUUGGCAUAUAACUGUUGGUAGUAUUUUCUUAUGGUUGUUUGUAUCUCUGCGAUAUCAUUUUUCAUUUCUCCUCUUUCUUAUUUUAUUUGGAUCCUCUCUUUUUUUUUUUUAAUUGAUCAGCCUGACUAAAGGCUUACCAAUUUUAUAUUUUUAAAAAACAGCUCUUAGGGCUUCCCUGAUGGCGCAGUGGUUGAGAGUCUGCUUGCCGAUGCAGGGGACACGGGUUCGUGCCCCGGUCCGGGAAGAUCCCACAUGCCGCGGAGUGGCUGGACCUGUGAGCCAUGGCCGCUGAGCCUGCGCGUCCAGAGCCUGUGCUCCGCAACGGGAGAGGCCACAACAGUGAGAGGCCCACAUACUGCCAAAAAAAAAAACCAAAAAAAACAGCUCUUGGUUUUAUUGGUCUUUUUUAUUGGGUUGUUUUUUUUUUUUUUUUGAUCUGUAUUUUGUUUCUUCUCUGAUCUUUAUUAUUUCCUUCCUUCUGCUGACUUCGGGCUUUGUUUCUUCUUUUUCUAAUUCCUUUAGAUGGUAGGUAGUUAGGAUGUUUGAGAUUUUUCUUGUUUCUUGAGGUACGCCUGUAUUGCUAUAAACUUCCCUCUUAGAAUUUCUUUUGCUGCAUCCCAUAGAUUUGGGAAUGUGUUUUUAUUUUCAUUUGUCUUGAGGUAUUUUUUAUUUCCUUUUUGAUUUCUUUUAUGUACCCAUCGGUUUUUUAGUACCAUGUUGUUGAGUGUCUACAUGUUAGUGUUUACCCCAUUUUUCUUCCUGUAAUUGACUUCUCGUUUUAUACGGUUGUGGUCAGAAAAAAUGCUGGAUAUAAUUUCUAUCCUCUUAAAUUUGUUGAGACUUGUUUUGUGGUCUAGCAUGUAAUCUAUCCUGGAGAACAUUCCAUGUGCACUUAAAAAGAAUGUGUAUUCUGCUGUUUUUGGAUGAAAUGUCCUGUAGAUAUUGAUGCCCAGUUGAAUUAAGUCCAACUGGUCUAAUGUGUCAUUUAAGACUACUGUUUCCUUACUGACUUUAUGUCUGGGUGAUCUGUCCAUUGAUGUAAGUGGGGUGUUAAAGUCCCCUACUAUCUUUAUCAUUACAUAAUGCCCUUCUUUGGGUUUUGUUACAGACUUUGUUUUAAAGUCUACUUUGUCUAAUAUGAGUACUGCUGCCCCAGCUUUGUUGUUUCUAUUUACGUGAAAUGUCUUUUUCCUUCCCCUUGCUUUCAGUCUGUGUGUGUCUUUAGUUCUGAAGUGAGUCUCUUUCAAGCAGCAUAUAGAUAGGUCUUGUUUCAUUAUCCAGUCAGUCACCUUAUGUCUUUUGAUUGGAGUGUUUAGUCCAUUGAUAUUUAAGGUUACUAUUGAUGGGUAUGUACUUAUUGCCAUGUUGUUGCUUGUUUUCUAGUCGUUUUUUAUAGUUCUUCUCCGUUCUUCUUUGUCUUUCUUACCUUGAGAGUUUUUUUGUUUUUUGUUUUGUUUUUUUCACAUGUUUAUUGGCGUAUAAUUGCUUCAGUGUUGUGUCUGUGUACAACAAAGUGAAUCAGCCAUGUGUGUACACAUGUCCCCAUAUCCCCUCCCUCUUGAGCCUCCCUCCCACCCUCCCUAUCCCACCCCUCUAGGUGGUCACAAAGCAUCGAGUUGAUCUCCCUGUGCUAUUCAGCAGCUUCCCACUAGCCAUUCAUUUUACAUUUGGUAGUGUAUAUAUGUCAGUGUUGCUCUCUCACUUCAUCCCAGGUUCCCCUUCCCCACCAUGUCAUCAAGUCCAUUCCCUACAUCUGUGUUUUUAUUCCUGCCCUGCCACUAGGUUCAUCAGUACUGCUUUUUUAGUUUCCAUAUAUAUGCGUUAGCAUACAGUAUUUGUUUUUCUCUUUCUGACUGACUUCUCUGUGUAUGACAGACUCUAGGUCCAUCCACCUCACUACAAAUAACUCAAUUUCAUUUCUUUUUGUGGCUGAGUAAUAUUCCAUUGUAUGUAUGUGCCACACCUUCUUUAUCCACUCAUCUGUCGAUGGACACCUAGGUUGCUUCCAUGUCCUGGCUAUUGUAAAUAGUGCUGCAGUGAACAUUGUGGUACAUGACUCCUUUUGAAUUAUGGUUUUCUCAGGGCAUAUGCCCAGUAGUGGGAUUGCUGGGUCAUAUGGUAGUUCUGAUUUAGUUUUGGGUUUUUUUUGUUGUUGUUUUUUUUUGCAAUACACUGGCCUCUCACUGUUGUGGCCUCUCCCGUUGCAGAUCACAGGCUCCAGACGCACAGACUCAGUGGCCAUGGCUCAUGGGCCUAGCUGCUCCGCGGCAUGUGGGAUCUUCCCGGACCAGGGCACGAACCCAUGUCCCCUGCAUCAGCAGGCGGACUCUCAACCACUGCGCCACCAGGGAAGCCCUGAUUUAGUUUAUUUAAGGAAUCUCCAUACUGUUCUCCAUAGUGUCUGUAUCAAUUUACAUUCCCACCAACAAUGCAGGAGGGUUCCCUUUUCUCCACACCCUCUCCAGCAUUUGUUGUUUCUAGAUUUUUGAUGAUGGCCAUUCUGACCAGUGUGAGGCGAUACCUCAUUGUGGUUUUGAUUUGCAUUUCUCUAAUGAUUAGUGAUGUUGAGCAUCCUUUUAUGUCUUUGUUGGCCAUCUGUAUGUCUUCUUUGGAAAAAUGUCUAUUUAGGUCUUCUGCCCAUUUUUGGAUUGGGUUGUUUGUUUUUUUUAUAUUGAGCUGCAUGAGCUGCUUGUAUAUUUUGGAGAUUAAUCCUUUGUCCUUCAUUUGCAAAUAUUUUCUCCCAUUCUGAGGGUUGUCUUUUUGUUUUGUUUAUGGUUGCCUUUGCUGUGCAAAAGCUUUUAAGUUUCAUUAGGUCCCAUUUGUUUAUUUUUGUUUUUAUUUCCAUUUCUCUAGGAGAUGGGUCAAAAGGAUCUUGCUGUGAUUUAUGUCAUAGGGUGUUCUGCCUAUGUUUUCCUCUGAGAGUUUUAUAGUGUCUGGCCUUACAUUUAGGUCUUUAAUCCAUUUUGAGUUUAUUUUUGUGUAUGGUGUUAGGGAGUGUUCUAAUUUCAUUCUUUUACAUAGAGCUGUCCAGUUUUCCCAGCACCACUUAUUGAAGAGGCUGUCUUUUCUCCAUUGUAUAUUCUUGCCUCCCUUGUCAAAGAUAAGGUGACCAUAUGUGCGUGGGUUUAUCUCUGGGCUUUCUAUCCUGUUCCAGUGAUCUGUAUUUUUGUUUUUGUGCCAGUACCAUACUGUCUUGAUUACUGUAGCUUUGUAGUAUAGUCUGAAGUCAGCGAGUCUGAUUCCUCCAGCUCUACUUUUCUUAAGAUUGCUUUGGCUAUUUGGGGUCUUUUGUGUUUCCAUACAAAUUGUAAAAUUUCUUGUUCUAGUUCUGUGAAAAAUCCCAUUGGUGACUUGAUAGGGAUUGCGUUGAACCUGUAGAUUGCUUUGGGUAGUAUAGUCAUUUUCAUGAUAUCGAUUUUGAUUUGUGGUUACCAUGGGGUUCAUAUAUGGUGAACUUUGUACUAGCUUAUUUAAUUAGUUGACCCACAGCCUUUACUAUAUAUUUGCUUUUACUGGUGGGACUUUUUCCUUUUCUGUAAAUUCUUGUUCUAGCCUUUUCCACAUAGAGGAGAUCCUUUAACUCUUAGGGUCAGUGUAGUAUUGAUGAACUCUUUUAGUUUUUGCUUGUCUGAGAAGUUCUUUAUCUCUCCUUUAAUUCUGAAUGAUAACAUUGCUGGGUAGAGUAUCCUAGAUUGUAGGUUUUUCCUUUCAGCACUUUAAAUAUAUCUUAUGACACUUGUUUCUCGUCUGAAAAGUUUUUGCAGAAAAAUCCACGGAUAGCCUUAUGGGGGUUCCCUUGUAUGUGAUUGUUUUUCUCUUGCUGCCUUUAGAAUUCUCUUUUUAACUUUUGCCAUCUUUUAAUUAUGGUAUGUCUUGGUGUGGGUCGCUUUGGGUUCAUCUUGUUUGGGGCUCUCUUUGCUUCCUGUACUUGGAUAUCUGUUUCCUUCUUUAGGCACAGGAAGUUUUCAGUCAUAAUUUCAUCAAAUACAUUUUUGACUCUCUUCUUCUCCUGCUGGGACCCUUAUAUGUGAAUGUUAGUACACUUAACAAUGUUCCAGAGAUGUCUUAAAUUGUCCUCAUUUUUUUUAAUGUGUUUUUCUUUUUUUUUUUUUAAUUUAUUAAUUUUUUAUUUAUUUAUUUUUGACUGUGUUGGGUCUUUGUUGCUGCACGCGGGCUUUCUCUAGUUGCGGCGAGCGGGGUCUACUGUUCAUUGUGGUGCGCGGGCUUCUCAUUGCGGUGGCUUCUCUUGUUGUGGAGCACCGGCUCUAGGCAUGCGGGCUUCAGUGGUUGUGGCACGCGGGCUCAGUAGUUGUGGCACACGGGCUCAGUAGUUGUGGCUCAGGCUCUAGAACGCAGGCUCAGUAGUUGUGGCGCAUGGGCUUAGUUGCUCUGUGGCAUGUGGAAUAUUCCUGGACCAGGGCUCGAACCCGUGUCCCCUGCAUUGGCAGGUGGAUCCUUUUAUUUAGUUCUUUAUUUUUGGCUGCAUUGGGUCUUCGUUGCUGUGCGCAGGCAUUCUAGUUGCAGCGAGGGGAGCUACUCUUCGUUGCAGUGCACAGGCUUCUCUUUGCGGCGGCUUCUCUUGUUGUGCAGCAUGGGCUCCAGGCGCGUGGGCUUCAGUAGUUGUGGCACGCAGGCUCUAGAGUGCAGGCUUAGUAGUUGUGGUGAACGGGCUUAGUUGCUCUGUUUUGGACCAGGGCUCGAACCUGUGUCCCCUGCACUGGCAGGCGGAUUCUUAACCACUGGGCCACCAGGAAUGUCCCAUGUUUAUCUGUUCUUUUUCCUAGUUCAAGUAGCGUUCUUAUUACUAAUGCUUUCAACUCUUUAUCUGGUAAAUUAUUUACCUCUGUUCCAUUGGUUGUUUUUUUUUUCAUUUUUUUUUUCUUGUUCUUUCAUUUGAAACAAAUUCCCCUGUCUUCUCAUUUUGCUUGGCUUUUUCUGUCUCUGUGAAAUUAGGUGAAGCAGUUACCUAUCCCAGUCUUUAAGGCAUGUCCCCGUGUGGGAGCGUCCCUGUACGGUCUGCAUGUGCCCGUUGACUUUGCUGGGAGAGCUGGAGCUGAAGUGGGCAAGAGUCAUGUCUUCCCCCAGGCUGUGCUGGCAGCUGUCGCCUUGGUAGGGGGUGUGGCUGGAGAUGUAAAGGGGCUGGAGCCAGAGCCAGGUGUGAGCUGGAGCUUCUUGUCUGUUCAGUGGCUGUGACUGCCCUGUCAGGGCAGGUCCCAGUUUGCUGGAGCAGCUGUCCUGAGGGUCAGGUCCAAGCUGGUUCUGUUCCAAGUGUGCGCUCUCCCUGCUCCCAGCAGCAGCAUCUUUGCCCCCAAAGGGGAAGCAGUGCUGGAGCAAGAGGGGCCGGAGCAGGUGCUCAGCUCGGGCGGGGGGCGGGGGCAGGGGCUGCAGCUUGUGCUAGGGCGGGGGCUGGGGCGGGGCUGGGGCGAUCCCGGGCAAGCAGCCAGAGCCCCGGGCAGGCUUCAUCUGCUUCCUCCGCCUUAUUCCAGGAGUAAGCAAGCUGGCGCCCACGCCUCACGAGUGGAGUCUAGGCUUCUUACAGCCCUGCCGUUAGUCCCACUGGUUUUCAAGCCAGCCAUGGUGACUCGUUCUCUCGGUGUGGAUCCUCAAGGCUGGGGUGCCCCAAUAUGUGGCCUGAACCACUCACUCCCCAGGGAGGAGCUCCAAGCCCAUGCCGUCCCCCUCCUCCUCUGUGUCCCCUCCCAGGGGCACGAGCCCCGACGUGAUCGCUUUUCUUCCCUUCCUUUCUGAGUCCCUACGCAUCUUUCUCACAGCCUUGGUCGCACAGGAGUCUCUGCCAGUCUCCAGUUUGCUUUCAGUGUGGAUGUAUUUUUUAUGUGUUCGUGGUGGGACGUGAGCUCUGUGUCCUACUCUGCCACCUUGCUCUCCUCUCCCUGAAAACAGAUUAUCUUUAAGUGCUAGCAUCUCACUCAGCAUGCGACAUGCUUAUUAGCCUAGAGGUCUUGCCAGGGGACGAGUAAGAACUGAGACCGACUCAGAACAUCCAGCUCAUCUUCUGUUCAAGGUCAGAAAUGUAUAGACUGAAAGGCAGAAGGAACAGUCCUCACUAUUUAAUUCCUAUUUCUCUGUCUUUCUGUCUUGGGUGGGUGGGAAUUCCUCUCUGUUGGGAUUUGAGGAAAGUUAAUAACUAUCAGUUGAGUCUUACUAGUUUUCACUAUUUUUCUUUAAUUAAGCCGGUGAUUCUUGGUGGGACUUUAAAACAGAUUACUAAAGUUUGGGAAUUAGGAUUCGGAGUAAAUUUUAGUUUCUCUCUGUAUUUUUCAGAGAUGGAAAGCAAGGCUGGGGAAAGUUAUCAGAAGCAUGACUUGUGAACUGCAGAACAAGUGAAGAGAGUGGGACUUGGGUUGGGGUGGGGGGGAGCAGCAAGGCCAGGGGAGGUUUCCUGAAGGACAAGACAACUAAACAGAAGCUUAGAGUGCGUCAGCCAGCGAGGGAAGCAGUCGGGAGCGUUUCAGGCAGAGGGUCCGUGCCAGGGGCGGAAGCAGGAGAAACAGGAGCCGGCCUUGUGAGCUGCGCUAGCACCUGGGGGUUGGGUCUGAAAGCAGUGGAGAGCUACUGACCGGUGUAGGCAGACUGCCUUUUAGAAAGAAUCCGGUGACUUGGAGAAUACAUUGGAAGGGACUAAUCUGGGGUACGGGCGAGGGGCACCACCAUUCUGGGAAGGAGCCUCAGUUAUGACUGACUGCGGGACGCGUGGCAGCUUCUCCCUCGGCCGUCGCCGCAGCGAGCAGCAGACCUGGACCCGGCCUCUCAACUCAGUCUCCUCCCUCCUCGUCCACACACGCCUUUGCUUGUGUUUGUAGGUGGCUGAAUCCCACUCUGGCCGGAUUAAGUGAAAAAAUGGAAACGGGGGUGGGAGGCGAGGCGUGGUGGGGAAGCCAUUGGGAUUUGUCUGCCAGCCUUCAGGUGAGAACGGGAAACCCAAGCCGCCGCCCGGGACCCCCAGCCCACGGGGUGCUCGGACAUUCUCCUCAGCCCCACAGCCUGGGGAUGCGCCGUCUCUCUCAGGUCAGAAUCGCAGACCCCGAGCUCGAGCAGAGUGGACUUGGUGGUCUUCGGGGACCCGCGGCGGGGGCCCAGCUGUGUAAGGGCCCUGCCAAGAGCCCCCCAGCAGCUCCCAGCGUGGUGGCUUGGGGCCACGUUGCUUUUUCUUGCCUCUGGGGCUGGAGUAAGCCUAGAACCAGGCUUCGUUUUGAGGCUUGCUUCAGCAUCUUACCUGUUACAAGUGCUCAAUAGAUAGAUUUUUCAAUUAAGUAUUAGAGUAAUGUGUCAUAACAUUUGACCUUUCAUUUAAUUCUUGUUCCCAGAAGUUAAAGGCUCACUGAAGGAAUCUUUUGAAAAGCAACUGGUUUCAGACUAAACCCCCCUUACUUUUGACUCGUAAACCAAUCGGUUUGUGCUUCUGGUCCUGGAAUAACAACCCGAAUGCGUGGUUUGCCGU